ensembl:Mt_tRNA
GUAAAUAUAGUUUAAAUAAAACCCUAGAUUGUGAAUCUAAUAACGAAGGCUUAAACCCUUCUAUUUACC